ACUGUCCGUCUUCACCCCGCUCCCCCCCACCCCUCCCUCGCAGUGGAUCAGUCCAUUCACGGCAUGUCAGAGGUCAAGCCGGAAAUGAUCGGAGGACGUCAAAGUGGAAAGCGGAAACACAAGUUAAACGGCUAAAGUAGCGAGAAAGCUAGACGGUGGCUGAGGAGAGAGGAGAAGCGACGCUACAGCCUCCCAACAGGGAUUGUAGAAGGCGACGAUGGCCACAAAGACACUGUUCUCCCGAGUGAAGGUCUGUGUGAUAUCCCUGACCUUUGACCCCUCCAUUUAUAAAAGAAUAGAUAUAAAACUGCUGUCUUUGUUCUUAAAAUAUUCUAUCUCUGCAAUAUAUCCUGUGUACAACAAACAAUACAACAAAAUACAACAUACAUCUUUUUUUUAACUCUAAUGAUAAUUCAUAGAUGUUAAUUCUUACUGUAUUCAGUGCAACUUGAAGCCAUGAAUCCUCAAUUCUGUUAAAACCUGCAGCAUAAAAAAAAACUAA